UACGGAAGGCAGCAGUGGGGAAUAUUGCACAAUGGGCGCAAGCCUGAUGCAGCCAUGCCGCGUGUAUGAAGAAGGCCUUCGGGUUGUAAAGUACUUUCAGUCGUGAGGAAGGUGUUAAGGUUAAUAACCUUAGCAAUUGACGUUAGCGACAGAAGAAGCACCGGCUAACUCCGUGCCAGCAGCCGCGGUAAUACGGAGGGUGCGAGCGUUAAUCGGAAUUACUGGGCGUAAAGGGCACGCAGGCGGUUAAUUAAGUUGGAUGUGAAAUCCCCGGGCUUAACCUGGGAAUGGCAUUCAAGACUGGUUAGCUAGAGUCUUGUAGAGGGGGUAGAAUUCCGAUGUGUAGCGGUGAAAUGCGUAGAGAUGUGGAGGAAUACCGGUGGCGAAGGCGGCCCCUGGGACAAAGACUGACGCUCAUGUGCGAAAGCGUGGGGAGCGAAACAGGAUUAGAUACC
rnacentral:rRNA from 1 species